UACGUAGGGUGCGAGCGUUAAUCGGAAUUACUGGGCGUAAAGUGUGCGCAGGCGGCCGAGCAAGUCGAGUGUGAAAGCCCCGGGCUUAACCUGGGAACUGCGCUCGAAACUACUUGGCUGGAAUGUGGCAGAGGGAGGUGGAAUUCCACGUGUAGCGGUGAAAUGCGUAGAGAUGUGGAGGAACACCGAUGGCGAAGGCAGCCUCCUGGGCCAACACUGACGCUCAUGCACGAAAGCGUGGGGAGCAAACAGG
rnacentral:rRNA from 1 species